CCACACAAAGCUCCUCCUCUCUUUCUCCAGGUAUUUCUUAUAUUGCCUGCCACCCUCUUGUUCAGAUGAGAGGACCUAGAACCUGAUUACCAAUGGCUCAAGAUCUUAGAGCAGAUGAAGAACCACUAAAGAUUUGAAAUAAAAAAUGAGGAAGCUGAGGUGGAAAAUAUGACACUACAGACUUCUGGUGAGCCUGAAGCCUCACCAAGUGCAGAUAGAACUACCCUAUUUAUAAAAGGAGAUGAAUCAAGCAGCAAUGCGAGGUUUCUAAUAGACUUUACAAACAAGAGUACAGAAGAUUUUGUUAAAUCCCUAGAUGUCUCACUCCAUCACCCUCAGAAUUUCCAGUUUUAUAUCCAGAGUAACAUAGCCCUUGUUCUAAAAACUGUAGUGCCAACCCAGAGCCAGGCAACCCUGGAGCCCUUUUUAUUUCUCCCUGAGACCCACGGGUGAAUGACCCUUUAAGCAUGAAUCUGAAUUCAAAGAUUUCAAUGGCAAUGUAUUCAAUAUGCUAUCUUUGAUCAGAUAUUUACAACUGAUGAGAGAAAAAAAUGAUCUUUAUGUACAUAUUUCUUGCUAGUCUUGGGAUACUGGCUGUCACUGGAUUUCAUCUGAUCUUAGAAUCUAGAAAACAAAAGAGACCCAUACAGAAAAUAGAAAUGGAUGCAUCAAACCAGAAUGAUACUAACAUGAGUUGAUUCCUCACAAAACUUUGAAUCAGAUUGAUAACAUUUUACUCAUAAGUUUUUCCAGAAAAGAGGCACAGAAGAGAUCAAUGGCAUCUGGU
rnacentral:lncRNA from 1 species